UCUAAGUUUCCGAUUCGGUUUCGAUUUCCCUUUGAAAGCUCUGCUUUUUGUAACGCUUUGCUUAUCAUCGAAGCUGUUGCUUCUGUUGCUUCGACACAAGCAGAUGGGCAAAGAAAAAAGAGGCUUAGGCUCGGUGGCUGUCUUUUGUUGUUGCUGCUGUUUGUGCGUGACAUAUUUGUGUGAGCAUUUGACUCUCCUCUUUGCUCGUUUGGGGGUAUGGAAAAUUGCCUAUCAAGAGUGGAAGAGGGUGCUUUGGGCUUAUCAUUCUUAAGGAUCGAUGAGGUAGGCAUACAAAUGGAGUAGGUUUACUCUGCAA